rnacentral:rRNA from 1 species
CGCCUCUUGUAUGAUUCAUAAGAGGUCCAGCCUGCCCAGUGACCCUGUUCAACGGCCGCGGUAUCCUAACCGUGCGAAGGUAGCGUAAUCACUUGUUCUCUAAUUGUGGACUAGUAUGAACGGCACCACGAAGGUUAUACUGUCUCCUUUUUCUAAUCAGUGAAACUAAUCUCUCCGUGAAGAAGCGGGGAUAAAAAUAUAAGACGAGAAGACCCUAUGGAGCUUUAAACAACAUAGCAAUUGUUGCAUCAAUAUAAACCUUUCUGAAUAAUUAAAUCUUAUUAAGCAAUCUGACUAUAAGUUUUUGGUUGGGGUGACCGCGGAGCAUAACACAACCUCCAUGUUGAAAGAACUUUCUUCUAAGCUAAGAACUACCCAUCUAAGCAUCAAUACAUUGACAUUCAUUGACCCAAUACACUUGAUCAACGAACCAAGUUACCCUAGGGAUAACAGCGCAAUCCACUUCAAGAGCUCCUAUCGACAAGUGGGUUUACGACCUCGAUGUUGGAUCAGGGUAUCCCAGUGGUGCAGCCGCUACUAAAGGUUCGUUUGUUCAACGAUUAAAACCCUACG